rnacentral:misc_RNA from 1 species
GGACUAAAGAGUUUCCAGCAAUCAGUGCAGGAGCAAUCUUGGAGACGGCAAGAUUGACCGGAUAGUUGAAAGGAGGAAUCGCCAGAAUCACACCCAACGGUAUCUUGGAUGUUAGACAGUAUUUGGUCCUUUCAUUUCCAGGGAAACUAUCAGAUACCAAGAACUUACCCUCCCCUAGAAUUCUAACUCCUUCUUCAGCAGUGUAAGAAACCAAAUCACCAGAUCUCACAACCUCGGUGACAGCAUCUUUAGCUGGUUUUGCAAUUUCUUUAACAAGGCAUUCAGCAAUAGGGGCUUUGUGUUCUUUCAAAAUUGCAGCUGCCUUAUGAAGUAACUCUGCUCUUUUCCAUAGUGGUGUUUUAGCCCAUGAUUUUUGUGCUGCUUUUGCUAUUUCCAUUACUUUGUUCACCUCUUCUUGUGUACAUGCUUGAACUUUGUAUUGUGUCUUUCUUGUAGUAGGAUUAAU